CGCUGCUCUGAAUUAUGCUUUUUACGGAAUUCGGAACGAAGACACUCUUGCUCUGGUGGCAGAAUGGCUAAGGACUUUCCAGAUGCAGGCUCUGAUAUAACAGCCUAUUGCCAAGACUGUACUCAUGCGUGAUUAAUCAAGGUUGACUCCGCCUUCCAUCCUUCCGAGGAACACACCUUGACUAGGGAGAGAUAUUCCACUGCGGCAGAGCGGAGAGUUGAAGACCACUUCCUGACAGCAUCGUCACAC